rnacentral:lncRNA from 1 species
UUGCUCGCCCUUGUCAACUCUCGCGUUGUCCCCUCGUAGGCACACCAAAACUUCCCCUUCGCCUUCCGUGGAUUCAAGGUGCCAGAUUUGCAGAGCAAGCUACAUUUUUCACAACAUUUCUUGAUGAAAAAAAACAGCAGCAAUAGGAUUCCAGUGAUUGAUUAUUAUCAGCAAUAAUGUACAUCAACUUACGCCUCAUCAGCUGAUGCGUUGCCAGCUUUGGCCGAUGCAGCAGAGAUGACGGGGUACGCCUUGUGUAGAGGCAACAAUGUAGCUGAGAGGCUCUCCCUCUUCAAGCACAGUUUGUUCCCGACAACGGCACUAUAUCACUUGUUGAAGUAUCUUGCUCCAAUGAUCUUCCUUCAGACAUCAAAAACAUCCCAACAACAUCAUAGUUAGAUCAUUUAAUUACUGUGACAACAGUCAUACCUGGAGAGAACAAAAAUUGGUACUGGUUCAGGAGCAACAACCACAUACAUGUAGAUAGAAACGUGACAAAAGGAAAUAUGUUUAGAGUGGUGAUCUUUAAGUCUAACUUUAUGCCUAAUACUCAAAAUCAGGAAUUUAAAAAGAUAAAGAAAACGUAUACUGAAGAAGUUUAUAAAACAAUUCCACAAGCUUCAUUCUUUCUAACAGAAACCAAACAGAUGUGCCUAAAGGGCAUAUAGCAGUUUAUGUAGGAGAAGUUCAGAGGAGAAGGUAUGUGGUGCCUUUAUCAUACCUCAACCACCCUUCAUUUCAAGCGUUGCUGCGACGAGCUGAGGACGAGUUCGGCUUCAAUCACCCCAUGGGAGGCCUCACGAUCCCUUGCAACGAGAACGCGUUCGUUGAAGUGACUUCAAAAAUGCAGCUGUGGCAUGCGUGAAGAGAGCAAGCAUUAAUUCAACAGUUUUUGAGGACUCAUUAUUUAUGUAUAUAGUGUUCCAACAAUAUAUAGCUGCAGUGUUUGUAAACAGAUCAUGUAGUGAGAAUUCAGCUUAGUCAUCCUUCAUUUCAAGGCUUGUUGCACCGAGCCGAGGAAGAAUUCGGCUUCAAUCACCCCACAGGAGGUCUAAUGAUUCCAUGCAGUGAGAAUGCCUUUCUUGAACUAACUUCUACGAUACAAAUUCAUCAUGCAAGAAACCAAUGAAGAAUAUUUUUAUUAAUUUUUUUACUAUUUUUUUUUUGUGCUUUUGUUUUUAUAGAAUAGCUUUAGGAGUGUAGAUUCAUGUAUUGGUGAUCCACUGACAUAUACGGACACACAAACACAGAGAAAAAAGAAAAAAUAUUAUUUUCAUUCAAAUAAAGUUUUUACAUUUUUNNNNNNNNNNNNNNNNNNNNNNNNNNNNNNNNNNNNNNNNNNNNNNNNNNNNNNNNNNNNNNNNNNNNNNNNNNNNNNNNNNNNNNNNNNNNNNNNNNNNNNNNNNNNNNNNNNNNNNNNNNNNNNNNNNNNNNNNNNNNNNNNNNNNNNNNNNNNNNNNNNNNNNNNNNNNNNNNNNNNNNNNNNNNNNNNNNNNNNNNNNNNNNNNNNNNNNNNNNNNNNNNNNNNNNNNNNNNNNNNNNNNNNNNNNNNNNNNNNNNNNNNNNNNNNNNNNNNNNNNNNNNNNNNNNNNNNNNNNNNNNNNNNNNNNNNNNNNNNNNNNNNNNNNNNNNNNNNNNNNNNNNNNNNNNNNNNNNNNNNNNNNNNNNNNNNNNNNNNNNNNNNNNNNNNNNNNNNNNNNNNNNNNNNNNNNNNNNNNNNCAGUCAGAAUCUCCAAGAUGAACAUAAACAUUCUCAACCUUUAUGCUUCUUUGAUUUGCAAGAAAUCAAACCGAACAAAUCCAGAGAACGGCUAAAGAGAACUAUAACAAAUCUGUCGAGAGUUUAAACAUAAUCCGGUAGGAAAUAAAGCAGGACGUUUUCGUAUUUUAAAUGAGUUUUUCUUCAUUACAGUGCCCUAUUCAUUCAUCACCAUACAAUUCCUGGUAGAAAUGCAGCAGAUACAGGGUUGGGAUUAAGUGAGAAUUAUACAUGAACAAAUCCAUGAAAUUCAUGAAAAAAUCAAUGAAAUCCAUGAACAAAUAAAUGUAUCACAUGAACAACCACAUUAACUGAAUGUGGCUGUUCAUGUGUUACAUUGUUUUGUUCAUUGAUUUUAUUGAUUUAUUCAUGUAUUCUCAUUUCUCACUGGUUCUCCAUUCUCAUUUUAUAUAGUGGUUCUUAUUUGUAACUUCUCCCAAUACAUAUAUCAAUCUAUAGGAAGGUCUACAAUUGUGAAGUUAUAAGGACUCAAAGAGACAGUAAUUUGACUGACUCUAGAUUCAUCCCCAUAUUAUUUAUGCUAUACAUUUCAAAUUUCUAUUACAAAAUUCCUUCAGAAAAUAAAUACCAAAUAACAAUCUGCAUCAGCUCUGAACAGCACAAAACCAUCUGCAAAAUCUACAGUCUAGGGCAGCUACAGGCAUAAAAAAAUCAAGGUUUCUCAGAGAGCUCAUAGUGACAAUUUAUACUAUUUUUUUUGAUUUAUAAUAAAAUUAAUUAACUGAAAUUAAAACAAAAUUAACUGAAAUUACAUACCUCAAACCGGUGGCUGAUUCCCUGCAGAGACGGCGGCGGAGGUGUGAUGGCGAAGGACAGCGGCGGAGGCUGAAUUCCUGCUGGUACAGAUCGGCCGGUGAAGGCAGAUCUUCACGGCAGGGCAGAAGGACGUCGAGGCGGAGGUGGGCGGAGGUCGAGCGACGCGUUAUAAAAUGGUGGCCGGAGACCUCGAUUCAAUGCAAAUCAUAGACCCAAAUCUCUCACCUAAACCUCUCUCGUCCCUCUCCUUUCCAUAUAACCUCCGGAGAGCUGGUGGCCGCGAUUUAGGGACCUAGGGUUUGGAAAAAUAGGUUGUGGUGCUAUCGCUUGAGAUGCGGGCGGCGACGGCUGUAAUUGAGCAGUGGAGAUAGAGAGAAAUGCGGAGGCGCGGCGUGCUGGCUGUGUUGUCGCCAGAGCUGGGUAGGAGAGGCGACGAUUUCACUGUGGUCGACGCGACGCGGUGCGAGGCAACGGUGAGGCUGAGAGAGAUAUGUUUUGGGACUGAGAGAGAUAGCGGCGCGUUACAAACGAGAGAGAGAGAGAGAUUUUUUUUCACUUCAGUUCAUAAUAAUAUUAUCAUGAGAUAUUGAUAUGAUAAUAUUUUCCCAUCUAAAAUAUGUGGGAUAAACUUUUUUGUCGCCCUAAAGAAUAUGGGAUAAAAAGGGUGAGGGUUACCAAUCAAAACGUGAUAAUAUUAUAAAUUUAUUCUUUUUAUUCUUCAUAAACAACAAAGAGAACGCACCCUUAGAGAAUUAAUUUUUGUAAUUACGAGCUCGUCGAGACUAUACCAAUUAGAUAGACGAAUUAAUAUUAAUUUCAAUAGAUUCAUGCAUAGUAUACUUCUUGUAGUGUAUAUACACAGAAAGGAACAGAGGAAGGGGCAGAAGGUAGGGCCUUAGGGCUAUCUAUAAUCUAUGCAUGCAUGUUGUUUUCCAAAAUAUAGAAAUUAUACAAAUAGCAAACCAAGUGCUUUUUGUCGGUGUCACACUAAAAAAGUACAUAUACAACUAUUGAAAUGAAUCAUAAGAUCAAAAUACGAUCAAGAGUAUAAUUAAGUUAACGACAUAUAUAUCUAUAUCUUUCACCAAUAUUCAUUUCAACAUCAAGGCACGAAUUCUAGUACAAAGGCCAUCCAAUAAAUGAAACCACAAAAAANGAUAUUAGCCUUAUCUUCAUGGUACAUGACAACAAUGAAAAUGACAAAAUACAUUGUGAAUUAAUACAUAGAAAUGAGUACCUCAAGAUCUCACUUAGAAUUGCCUAAAUUCAAUUCAUAGAGUCAGAUCAAGUGUACUCGCUCCUCUUGCAUUACCAAAAUCUUGUUUCAGCUUCUUAUAAAUCAACACCGAAUUAGGAGAUGAAAUACUACUUUGGCGAACAUCGUUUCUUGAUUCUUUCCCGAGGGAUAGAUUCAAAUCGAGCUCCUUCCUUUUCAUCCCACUCUCUCGCCGCUCCAAACAUGUCAUUUGCUCAUGAUCAACUCUAUGUUGUGCAAGGUUUGAAGAGGUGAAAUAAAUAUGAUCAUCUAGCUUAUGCAAUAACCCAAAUUCCUCUUUCAUAUCUUCUUCUUUUCGCCUAGGGCCAAAAUCUAGAUUAAUCUGUGACCUGUAGUUAUGGCUGCAUCCCAAGUAGAGAAGAGGGAUUUAUACUUUAAAGAUUCAAAAACUAUAUAUGAGGAAGCGCAUAAAUAUUGUGGCAUAAAAAUGAACCUUCAAAUAUAAAUUGAAGAUUUAACUUUGAAAUAUUUUCAACUUAAUUAAUAUAGUACUAUAUAUAGCAAUAUAUAGUACCUAAAGAUAGAAAGACGCCUUUGAUGAAAACUAGGAAGAAGUGGGAGCUGUCUUAGAUUGAACAUAUUCUGGUGUUCUACUGCUCCUAAAAAGAACCCAUUAUCAGACAUCCCUGAAAAAAAUGGGGAAAAAUGGUUACUUCGAAAAAAAAAAUUGAUCACCAUAUAUGGAAACCUAUACAAUUAGAGUGAAAUGGUGACAAGUAUAAAUAUAUGGGAUGAUUAGAGUUAGAGCUAUAUAUACCUCGACCUUGAUAACUGUGCUCAUCAAUCUGCUUGCUUCUGUACAUCUGUAAAACCACCAGAAACAAAACUCCAAUUUAUUAACGAUUAAAUUAACACACACACACACUCUAAAAAAUAUAUAUAUAUAUUAUAUUGAGUUAUUGAUCUUCUUUCUAACCUGUAAAUGGCUCUUGACAUGAGCAAUAUUUAGCUCUCUCAUAUUCAUGAAUUGAAGCACUAAUUUUGGUGUAGCUCCUGUAAACAUAACGUUUUAUUAAAAAAAAAAAGGCAGAAAUGAUUUCUGAAAAAAAUUAAAAUAAACUCCAUAUAAUUCUUGCAAGAAAAAUUUCUGAAUCUCACUGUCCAAUCCACCAAGUGUUUCCACAGCUUGCAGAAAGCGGCGAUGAAGAUCGGGCGUCCACCGCAGCCGCGGCGUUUUCGAUCGGACGUAAGGCCUAAUCGUUGGCGGCUUCUUCUCUCUGCUAUAGCUUGACUUGUUGCUUGCUUCCUCCUCCUCAUCGUUUUCCUCACAAAGGCUUGUUCUAGAACAUUCUGUCUCAUCACUUCCUUCCAUGGUGUUACCUGAAGGGAAAAGGGAUGAUCAUCAAUUUUUACAAACCCUAGAAGCUCAAGAGUGAAAAGGAUCUCUACGUUUGCUAAAACAAUAGAUCUCUUAGUUUUGAAGUAUUGUAGUAUGAUGACUUCACGUUUGAGAUUUUUUUUUUUUAUAAUUCUACAUAGAAUGAAUCAAGAAUGAAACCCUAAGACAUAGUGAGAGGAAGAGAUGAAGUACUCUCUCUCUCUCAUUAUAAUAUUUUAAUGGGAAUCAUUAUGCCUCUUAAUAUUAUAUAACUAUAUGUUGCAUGUAUAGUAUAUCAUGUAUUAAUCAAGUUUUAUUAUAAAUUUGUAAUUGUGACUAGCACUCAUGUGAAUCCAGAUCACGAUGUCCCACUUGCCAAAAGCUCAAAUUUUUUCCAAGUAUAUGUUGAAUUAUAGUUGUUCUCGAAAGGUACGAACUCUACCGUAAUGUUUUGUGAAGGAAGAGGAAUCAUAAAAUAUUUAGGUGGAUAAAAAUUUCAUAGUUUGUAGGUAUGUUGUGCAUACGAUAUAGUAUAAAAUUAAAUACAACCAUUUUCAUUUUACAACAAAAUUCGUACCCAUGCAGCAUGUGGCCCCUAACAAGACAAUGGCUUGGUUGUUCUUUUAUUAAAUAAAUGUGGGAAAUUAAUUUUCAGUUAUCACAGACUCCAAAAUGUAUUCAGAAAAUGUUUUGUUUCAAUUCUGACAAGGGCAAAUUAAGCCCAGAAAUCGAAGUUCAAAUGCGUUUAAAGUUAAAACUUUUGAAAUUUAUAUGUUGUUGUCUCUUUGUUACUCGAACAAGACCAAUUUUACUUUUGGACCAUUCAAUUUUUGUAUAGUUUCAGAAAUGGGAAUCUCAUCAAUACCAAGAGAUUCAGCAACUAUACAUAUUCAGAAAUACUCCCUCCGUCCCGCUAUUUAUGGCUCGUUACUUUUCGGCACAGAAAUUAAGGAGAAGGAAAUUAAGUGAAAAGGGGUGUGGUUCACAUGUGUUUAGUAAUGGUUAAUAAUUCAAACUGAUUAAACAAAUUAGAUGCACAUUCAUUCAACAAAACCAAAACCAAUCGAACUAAUCUUGGCUUAAAAAAAAAGAAGCAAUCGAACCAGUCAAUCAAAAUUUCAGGAACAAAGAAUGAAACCAAUCAACAAUUUCAGGAACAGAGUAUGAAAAUUUCAGGAACAUAAAAUUUUCGAAACCAAUCAAAUUUUUCAAAAACCAAUCGAACUCAAACAAAUCAAACAAAAUUGGAGAAAUCUCGAGAACAUAGAAUGAAAUUGGGAGAAAUCAAAAUUUUCAAAACGAAAACAAGAAUGAAACCCUCAGACAAGUGAAGGAAUAGGUGAAGUACUCUCUCUCUCAUUAUAAUAUUUUUAAUGGGAAUCAUUAUGCCUCUUAAUAUUAUAUAACUAUAUGUUGCAUGUAUAGUAUAUCAUGUAUUAAUCAAGUUUUAUUAUAAAUUUGUAAUUGUGACUAGCACUCAUGUGAAUCCAGAUCACGAUGUCCCACUUGCCAAAAGCUCAAAUUUUUUCCAAGUAUAUGUUGAAUUAUAGUUGUUCUCGAAAGGUACGAACUCUACCGUAAUGUUUUGUGAAAGAGGAAUCAUAAAAUAUUUAGGUGGAUAAAAAUUUCAUAGUUUGUAGGUAUGUUGUGCAUACGAUAUAGUAUAAAAUUAAAUACAUCCAUUUUCAUUUUACAACAAAAUUCGUACCCAUGCAGCAUGUGGCCCCUAACAAGACAAUGGCUUGGUUGUUCUUUAUUAAAUAAAUGUGGGAAAUUAAUUUUCAGUUAUCACAGACUCCAAAAUGUAUUCAGAAAAUGUUUUGUUUCAAUUCUGACAAGGGCAAAUUAAGCCCAGAAAUCGAAGUUCAAAUGCGUUUAAAGUUAAAACUUUUGAAAUUUAUAUGUUGUUGUCUCUUUGUUACUCGAACAAGACCAAUUUUACUUUUGGACCAUUCAAUUUUUGUAUAGUUUCAGAAAUGGGAAUCUCAUCAAUACAUAUUCAGAAAUAUAUAUAUAGCAACAGAUAAAACUAGAGCCCACGACAUGAUUUCAUUUCGUUUCGUGUUUAUAUAUGUCUAAUUCAUGUUUAUUCUUAUUUCGGUCGCACUUGAUAAAUAAUUAUACUUCAUCCGAUCGACUAAAAUAUAUUCAAUUCUUUUGAGCAUAAAAAUUAAAAAAGUUAUUUUCAAGAGGAAAAAAUGAUAAAAAAAAAAAUAUAGUAUGGUCCACACUAAUUAAGCAUUAUAAGUAUAAUUUUUCACUCAAAAGCGAAAACGAGCCUAUUCUAGUGGAUCCUAAAAUAGAAAACGAGCAUAUUCUAGUGGAAUGAAGGGAGUAUAUUGUUACAAUUUAUAUGCUCAGCUAAAUACCUAUUAUAUCGUACACAUGUCAAAUUCGAAUUUGAAAUCUUAGAAUGCUAAGAAUUUGUAGGGAAUUGGAUCAAACAUUAAUUUUUGAAUCUACAAGAUAUAUGAUAUAUAUAUAUAUAUAUAUAUAUGAUUUUAAAUAAUUAUUUGGUGAUAAUAAUUAUUUUAUUAAAUAUUCAUUAUUUAACUCAAAUAAUUAUUGGAUGUUACACCGUGAGUACAUGAAUGUGGUAUAGUCGAAAUCUCAAAAAAUCGAUUUCCGUGAGUGAGACAUGCCAAAGAUUGGAUGUGGAUGUAGGGGAGUAACAUUUUAAGUUGAAAAUGCUAUUGGUCCCACAUUGGAAAAAGAGAGAAGUCCUUUCUAGUGUAUAAGUAGUUGAGUACAUGCACUUAAUAACUUAUAGGAUUGGAAAAGGGGCUUGCCCUUGUGCACACACACAUGUGCGGGCAGGCGGGUUGGUUAUGGGUCGCGACCAAGGACUUGGAUCUUGGUGCUUUGGGUGGUGUUUGGGUUCAAACUAUAUACUUUUUGGACCAAAAACAUAAGGUUGUUUGGGCAUUGUUUCUAGAACAAGUUACUUGAUAGCCCAACCGUUACAUUUCCAUGAAUGUGUACUGAUGAUUGAUUGAGCACAAUUUUGGACAUAUUUUUGCUCAAAUAUUUUUGAAAUUCUGUAACAUCCAAAACAACCAUAUGACUGAUUUGGUGAAGCAAGAAAUAACACCCUCAAUAAAAUGAUAAACGACGCUAAGAUUUACGUGGUUCGAUCAUGAAGAUCUACAUCCACGGGUGGAUUUUUGGGGGGUUUUUUCACUAUACUUUGUGUGUUUACAUUUUACAUGGUGAAGAAAUGAAGAAGAGUCCCUAAUCUAAUAACUAAACUUCUAUUUAUAUGCAUUAAAGUAAACCUAAGGACUUUGGGCCCAUUAAUUCAAGUAGAUGGGCCUAAGCCCCUACUACAUUAGUCAGCGCUAAAUAGUCAACGAUGGGAACCAAGGUUGGACUAUCCGAGUUGAAGUAGCGCCGAAUUGUCGAGGCUGGGAGCCAAGGCUAGGUUGUGAAGGCGAGAACCGGUUAAGUCGCUAACAUAAUUCUCGAUAAAUAAAGUCAACCAUGUCAAGUCAACGCUGCGCAAAAUAUUCAAGAUAAUAGUAACAAUAACAUUAAAUAAUAAUAAUAAUAAUUAAGAGAAAUAUUCCAGCACUGUUAAGCAUAGCGCUGGUGCACAAUUUAAUCCUCAUCAGCUACUCUCCCUAGUCUGAUUGAACCGUGUCUUCUUCGUGUUCAACCAAUGAAGUAUUGUUAGAGCUAGCGCUGUACUGUUCUCCCAAAUCGGCUAAACGUACACAAUUUUCAGCUCUGAAACUUGUUAGAUACAAAAAAUGUUAACUUUGCAAAACAGUAAAGACAAAAUACGCUAGCCCUACAAGUUAUCAACACAUAAGAAUUUUCAGCGCUGCUAAUAAACAAAGAUAAGAAUUUUUCCUUUAUUUUGGAGUCGUGGUCGCAGAUUUGCUUCCUCCUUUGAUUCUUGCAUGUUGUCAAAUAUGAUCGACUUUCAUUUCUUUGAGUGCAAUUAAGAAGGCCAACACUUGAGAAUAUCCCAUAUUAAAUAUCUUACAGAGAUGAGCAAUAUAAAUACUUCGUGUAGGGUGAACAAGAAGACCAUCACAAGAAGAUACUGAAAUACUAUGUAAUCUUGUCAAGGCUGAGAAACAUAAUACUUUGGUUACAUGAGAAGGCCCAUCAUAAAUAUUUGUCGAGUUUGAAUGAUAUGCUUUGUUAUUGGGCGCGUGCGAAGGCUCUUCUCUCUCCUAACAGCCAUUUCCUCUGAGGUGAGCAGUUUGAAUGGUGCUUUUUGGGUGUUGUUAUCUCCCUUCUAUUAAGUGGUUGUCCAGGCUUCAGGUUUCCUGAGGUUUGUAGGUGUUUGAGCUGUUCUAGAAUGAACUUUCAUAUUCCUUGCUAAAGCUUCAAGGAUAUGUAACUGGUUUUCCCCAAAUCAAUGGCCUAUGAGAGGGUAGAGGGGUUGAACAUACUGUUGAAGGAUUGUAAUUCCUCACUCAAUCCACUUAUGAAACUUGCAACAAAAUACUCUUCAGAAUACUCACCUCUAUUAUUGAGCACCAUACAAGCUUUAAGCUCUUCAAACCUUUCCACAUACUCAUUGUAAUUGUUGCCCAACCUCAGCUUGUUAAAUUCUGCUAUAAUUCGUGCUUCCUUCAAUUCCUCAAACCUAGCUGAGAUCAAUCCCACAAAUUGCUCCCAUUCUAGCUCAUUCUGUUUAAUCACAAAGUUUUGAUACCACUGCGUUGCCUUACCCUCAAAGUGCAUUGCAGCCAAAGUGACCUUUUGGGAAUCUAAAAUAUGGGGGAUGAGUUUGAAAUAUCCCUAACAUUUCAAGAUCCAAGAUCUAGGGCUUGACCUAUCAAACUUUAGGGAAAGGGGCUAAUAGGAUUAGCAUGUGUAUAAUUAGGUUGUAGCCUAUAUUUGUGGGAAAAUGGAGUUUUAAAGCCACUGCCCAGAAUAGAUUCCUCUUCACUCGGCUUAUCACUCUCUAAAUUCAUCAGUUACAAUUGGAUAGAUGCUAAAGUAGUGGAUAAGUGAUCGAACUUACCCUGAACACCAUCUGAUUGUCCUUUCAUCUCUUUUGCAAUGUCUGCGAUAUGCUCUUGAAGCUUAACUUCAGUAGCUUACCUUUUUAAUAUCUCAUUGUAAAUAAUCUGAUCCAAUCGUUUAUGUGCUUCUUGUAGGUCCUUAAAUCUGGUUAUCUCAGCCAUCCACCCAGAAAGCUAGCUCUAGAUACGAAUUGUUGUGUUAUAUAUGUAAUCUCAGUCGAACAAGCAUAUAGCUUUGGGGGAUACAUGCUUGAUGAAAGAAGAUCUACGAGGGCGCCACAUAAUCCUGAAGCCCAAAUUUUGCUCAAAAAUUAUACUUUAGCCGAAGCAAGGGAUCAAGAAAAUAAAUGGAAAGAUAUAUUCCAAGAGUACCCUAUAAGUACCAUUGAAGUCGAGUUUACUGAUUGCUCCAAAUCAUCUCAAUAUACUGAUGCCGAUGAUUUUGAUGAUGUUUUGGACUUCGAUAUGUACACCAAUCUUUAGUUUGAUAUGAAUAUCAAAUAUUUUAUUAUUAGUCGAAUUUCAUCAUUUUAGAAAAGAAAAAAAAGAAUGAAAGAAAACAAAAAGAACAAAUGUUGUUUGCAAAUAAACCUUCAAUUUUAUUAUAAUCAUAAAAUUGUCAUUUAAUUUUUUUAAAAAAAGAGAACAGAGCCAUCUUUUUCAUCCUUCAAGUUUAAAUUCGUAGAGAAUUUUCAAGCAGCAGCUGCACUACUUUGAACAAAGUGGUUCCUCACUCCCUGUGGGAUUCGACCCUAUACUUGCUACUAAGACUUAUUUCUAGUUGCGAGAAGUAGGAGCGUGUACUGUCCGUCUAGGACGUACAAAAGCAUUUUGAUCGUACCGCACGACGGGUGCGUGUCACAGCGGCCGAGGGCAGCGGUCCUUGCGGCCUGCUUCUCAUUUGGCCAAAGAAGGGACGACGGGGUCCUCGGCGGCAGCAGCCUACGGGCAAUUCAUCGGAAUUUCUUGGGGAAGAAGAGAGAGAAAUCGAGAGGCGAGGGCACGACGGAGCUUCUGCGGCUACGAUAGUGGCGACUUAGGGCGGCGAUUCACCGAAUUUGAGAUGGAGAAGGAUUUAAGGAUUCUUGAGUUUGGGGAUUUUUCUUAGUUCUAUGAAAUCGAAAGAUGUGAGUGGAGAUUGGAGAGAUUUUGGGAAUUUUCCCUGUGCUUGGCGGUGGCUGGAGCCGAGCUUGGCGACGACAGUGUCUUCCACGGGCUUGGUGGGACUGGCUUUAAAAAAAGGUAUGCUCUUAGUUUCAGUUUAGAUGUCACCAACUCUCGUUGCUUAAAGCAGAUAACUACCUAUAAGCAAAUAAGCAAAUAGGUGCAUGUUUUUACAAUGUAAAGCAUGAUAUUUCAUCCUUAAAGUUUGGGUACUUUUAUUAACAUCUACACACUAUUACUCAACGGGGGCGUGUUAUUGUACUUAUCGUUCAUGGAGAAAGGGUAGAAAAUGUCGGGGAUAUUCGUAAUAGUUUUAUUUUACACCUUUCAGAUUAAUUCCCUUUUCUAGUUUUCUCAUUUGUAAUGAGCUUUGUACAAAUAUUUGGGUACUGAAUUGAGGGGUUUUGGUAGGGUUUAAGUUUUUUUUCCCUACCUGCAUUCUCGAUCCCAAAUCACUGAAUCAUUUUUAUUUAGAGUAACAAUAAAUUAUCUCAAGUUCUAUAAAUUGUCAUCCAGUUUGAUCCUGAAUCCAAUAUCAGUUGUUCAGAUUGCUGUCAAGAUGUGUGCUUUUGUGAUUUUAGAUUAUUUAUUGGUUCUUUGAUUUCUUGUUUCAUGCAGAAAGUCGUUAGAUUUGUGAAGUACCAAUGUUCUUGACGAGGGUGUUUGGGAGGGCCCUCUUUGGUGCUGCAACCAAAUCCGAGGCCUCGGUUGCUGUAGCUGCCACUUAUUGUUUCUACUGUUUCACAUAGUUGUUUUUUGGAAUUUGGUAUGUUUUUGGUUUGAUCAAAACUUCUUUUUUUGUUUAAAUUUCAAAAGUUAUGAUUUGAUGUUGUUUACCAGCACAUUUUAUGUUGAGAGCUGGUGGAGACCUGCUGUUACAAGUGGUAUUUUCAUUGUGACAGCCUUUAUACAGAUUGGCUCGAUGGAUACCGUGCUCGAAAGAUGGAUUUGGGAACUCCAUUUGGUGCAUUUUUGGAUCCAGUGGCAGAUAAGCUUAUUCCGGGGUUUUGUUGCUACAUAUUUCGGCAUGGCUUGCCUUACGGUCAUUGGUCAUGUAUUUUUUAUUUUGGCCAAGAGUCGCUGCAUAUGCUUUACAUGCAUUUGUUGCUCUGUUUAGCAGCUUGGUGGCUGAUUUAGGCUUAGUGAUUUGUUAGAAGUGCGAGAAUGCUUGUUAAAGAGAUAGGACAAGAUCCAACUUGUUAUUAAAUGUACUAUAUAAGUGGUAUGAUUGUUGACUUUAUUAGAUCUAUCAAUUUUAUUUUUGAAUUCACAAGCAGAUCUUUAAAUUCACAAUUUAAUAUUAUUAACUAGAUCUAUGAAUUCACCAUUAAAACUAGAAUUAACAACUAGUCGUGAAUUUCAGUUUUAAAACUUGAAUUCAUGAUUAACAAUAUUUCUAGUUGUGAAUUCAUUUAAAACUUGAAUUCACAACUAAUGUUAUUUAUAGUUGUGAAUUCGUGUGAAUUCACGACCAACAACAAUUCUAGUUGUGAAUUCACUCGAAUUCACGACUAACACUAUUUGUAGUUGUGAAUUUAUUUAAAACUUGAAUUCACAACUUAAUGUUCUUGAAUUCACGACCACAUCUAUUGCUUGUCCAUUGAUGCUUAGUUUCUAAAUCACCUUAUUAGUCGUCUUUACUUAUUUGAUUUUAUUUGUCUUUGAACUUAUUAGGUAAUCAAUCAGAUAAUCAAACCAAUCACCUUAUUGUUUAGUCUAAUUAGCCCUAAUACAAUGAAUUAGGAUAAUCACUAGAAUUAACUACUAAUCCUUGUGGAAUACGACCUCGCUUCCCUAUAUUGCAACUACACCGUACACUUGCGCCAUAAUGAAAAUAAAUAGCGAACAGAAUUCACAACCAAUUUGAUGAAUUCACAACUGAAUUGUUAGUGUUAGUUGUGAAGUUCUUGAAUUCACGACCAGAUCUAUGAAUUCAUGUAACACCCCAAUUUUCAUAAACUUUACUAAUUAAAAAAAAUAGAGAACAAAAGAUAGUAAAAUAAAAAUUUCUUAAUUUAUAAAGAAAAUUUAAACUAAUUUCAAAGUCAACUUGCCAAAACUAAAGUAGUAUCAUAAAAUAAAAAUAAAAAUAAAAUAAAAAUAAAACAAUAAACUAAAACUUAACAAGUUCAACUAAAAUGUUCAAUGUAAAAGAAAUCCUUAUCCCUAAUCAUUCUCCACUUCCAUGGCCACUUCGACUCUGAAACUGCAAAACUGAAACGAUAAGGGAUGAGCAUAUUGAAAAUAUACUCAGUGAGGAACAUAACAAAUAUCCAUAUACAUCACAUAUAUAAUUAAAUCACGUUAUCAUACUUGCAAACAUACGCCAAGAGACUAGAGCCCCUUGACAAACAUAAUCAUAGUUUGAGUCGAUGGCUUAAGUCCCAUGACCAAACACAUACAUAGAUCAAUGGCUUAGGUCCCAUGAUCAACUUAUUAACAUAGAUCAAUGGCUUAGGUCCCAUGAUCGCACAUAACAUCAUAGAUCAAUGGCUUAGGUCCCAUGAUCGCACAUAACAUCAUAGAUCAAUGGCUUAGGUUCCAUGAUCACACAUAACAACAUAGUCAUAAGAUACAAGUAAUCAAGCGCGAUAAUAAAAAUAUAUAUAACCAUAUGAAUAAGCGUAAAAUCCCUCACCUUAAUGUCGAAGCUUAUAUAUCAAAUUCAGAAUGAGGAUUUUAAUCGCACCGCACCUAAUUAAAUAGAUAAAACAUUUCAAUAUGAAUCAUAAUUAUAACUUAAACUAGAAUCUUAAAAAAAAUCUUUAUAAUCGUGUGUAUAUAUAUAUAUAUAUAUAUNUAAAAAAAAAUUAAAUUAUAAUCGUGUAUCUAUAUAUAAUAUAAUAAGCAUGCGAAAAAUAACAAAAAAAAUAGAAAUUAAAUAAACACGAUCUGGAAACUUUUAAAGAAUUAAACUGUCUUUUAUAAAAUAAAAUAAAAUAAACAGCUUAUAGAAUUUAACAUAUUACUAAGAAAAAACAAAACUUAGUUAACUAAAUAAAAAUUAGCCGCCAUUAUUGAUGUGAUUUGGAAAAGUAUAUAUAUAAAAAAACUAAUGUUAACUAAUAAUACUCCUACGACUUUAAACACAAUAAAACUUAAAUAAUUUUUAAACAAAAAAGUAUUCUGUACUCAUCAUCAUUAACAAUUGCGAAAAAAUAAAACUAGGCUUUGUGACUCUUCUUAUUUUGUUUGUUUAUAGUAAAAGGAAAUAAAAUACUACAAGUUGUUAAAAGAAAUUAAGGCUUACCGGCUUCUAGGAUAGAAACGUUCUCUGACGACUAAGAGGAAAAUAUUUAGAGCUAUGUAUGCGUGUGUUUCUAGGGUAAAUAAUUGUGCCUCAAUUUAUACUAGUCUUGAAAGAAUUUGAUAAGUGUAAAGAUGGUAUUCUAUGUAUAUCUCCUAAUAGUAUAAGGAAUAAAGAUGAUAAAAGAGUUCUAAUAUUAAUAAAUAUAAUAAGAAACAAAAUUAAAUAAUAAUAAUAAUAAUAAUAAUAAUAAUAAUAAUAAUAAUAAUAAUAAUCUUGAUCAAAUUAAUGGUGCGUAUUUAUAUAUAUAUAUAUAUAUAUCAUGUAGUUAUCUAAAAGAAUAAUAAUAAUAAGCUAUACAAGAAAAAGAAAUACUAAUAAUUAAGCUUAUAUAAUAAAUCUAAAUAUUUGGGAUGUUACAAUUCACAACUUGAUAUGCUUAAAUUCACAACCAGAUUUAUGAAUUCACAACUAAAUAUUCUUGAAUUCACAACCAGAUAUAUGAAUUCACAACUAACUUUAUUGCUG